UGAAGAUGGGGACAAUCCGCCGAAAGGUGGACUAAUACCCAAUGUGUUUAUGCUUACGCAUGUUUGGAUAAACAAAGAUUACGCAAGUAGUCGCUUUAGGAUGGGCUCUUGUCCUAUCAGCCAGUUGGUAAGGUGACGGCUUACCAAAGCUGUGACGGGUAGUCGGCGUGAGAGCGUGACCGACCACAAGGGAACUGAGACACGGUCCCUACUCCUACGGGAGGCAGCAGUCUAGAAAUUUGGGCAAUGGGCGAAAGCCUGACCCAGCGACGCCGCGUGAAGGAUGAAGUCUUUCAGGAUGUGAACUUCUGUCAGGGGGGACGAUGGUCUGAUGUCAAACAUCAGGCUGACGGUACUCCCAGAGGAAGCACCGGCUAACUACGUGCCAGCAGCCGCGGUAACACGUAGGGUGCAAGCGUUGUCCGGAUUUACUGGGCGUAAAGGGUGUGUAGGCGGGCUGGAAAGUCCUCAGUGUAAGCCUACGGCUUAACCGUAGAAUGGCUGGGGAUACUUCUUGCCUUGAGGAUAGGAGAGGAGAAUGGAACUUUCGGUGUAGCGGUAGAAUGCGUAGAUAUCGAAAGGAACACCGAUGGCGAAGGCAGUUCUCUGGAAUACUCCUGACGCUGAAACACGAAAGCUGGGGGAGCAAACAGGAUUAGAUACCCUGGUAGUCCACGCCCUAAACGAUGAAUACUAGACGUUGGCUCUUAAGGGGUCAGUGUCGCAGCUAACGCAUUAAGUAUUCCACCUGGGGAGUACGAUCGCAAGGUUGAAACUCAAAGGAAUUGACGGGGGCCCGCACAAGCAGUGGAGCAUGUGGUUCAAUUCGAUGCAACGCGAAGAACCUUACCUGGGCUUGAAAAGCAAGCUAAGGCAGAUGAAAGUCUGCGUCCCGCAAGGGGAGCUUGUACAGGUGCUGCAUGGCUGUCGUCAGCUCGUGCCGUGAGGUGUUGGGUUAAGUCCCGCAACGAGCGCAACCCUUGUUCUUAGUUGCUACCGGGUAAUGCCGGGCACUCUAAGAAGACUGCCUACGCAAGUAGUGAGGAAGGUGGGGAUGAUGUCAAGUCCGCAUGGCCCUUACGCCCAGGGCCACACACGUGCUACAAUGGCCGCUACAAAGGGCUGCAAAGCCGCAAGGUGAAGCCAAUCCCUAUAAAAGCGGUCUCAGUUCGGAUCGGAGUCUGAAACUCGACUCCG
rnacentral:rRNA from 1 species